rnacentral:rRNA from 1 species
UACGUAGGGUGCGAGCGUUAAUCGGAAUUACUGGGCGUAAAGCGUGCGCAGGCGGUUCGUUAAGUUCGAUGUGAAAGCCCCGGGCUCAACCUGGGAAUGGCAUUGGAAACUGGCGGACUCGAGUGUGGCAGAGGGGGGUGGAAUUCCGCGUGUAGCAGUGAAAUGCGUAGAGAUGCGGAGGAACACCGAUGGCGAAGGCAGCCCCCUGGGUCAAGACUGACGCUCAUGCACGAAAGCGUGGGGAGCAAACAGG